rnacentral:rRNA from 1 species
UACGAAGGGGGCUAGCGUUGCUCGGAAUCACUGGGCGUAAAGGGUGCGUAGGCGGGUCUUUAAGUCAGGGGUGAAAUCCUGGAGCUCAACUCCAGAACUGCCUUUGAUACUGAAGAUCUUGAGUUCGGGAGAGGUGAGUGGAACUGCGAGUGUAGAGGUGAAAUUCGUAGAUAUUCGGAAGAACACCAGUGGCGAAGGCGGCUCACUGGUCCGGUACUGACGCUGAUGUGCGAAAGCGUGGGGAGCAACAGG